rnacentral:rRNA from 1 species
AUUGCCCUAGUAACGGCGAGUGAAGCGGCAACAGCUCAAAUUUGAAAUCUGGCCCUCGGGUCCGAAUUGUAAUUUGUAGAGGAUGCUUUUGGCGCGGUGCCUACCGAGUUCCCUGGAACGGGACGCCUUAGAGGGUGAGAGCCCCGUACGGUUGGACACCAAGCCUCUGUAAAGCUCCUUCGACGAGUCGAGUAGUUUGGGAAUGCUGCUCUAAAUGGGAGGUAAAUUUCUUCUAAAGCUAAAUAUUGGCCAGAGACCGAUAGCGCACAAGUAGAGUGAUCGAAAGAUGAAAAGCACUUUGAAAAGAGGGUUAAAUAGCACGUGAAAUUGUUGAAAGGGAAGCGUUUGCGACCAGACCUUUUCCCGGCGGAUCAUCCGGUGUUCUCACCGGUGCACUUCGCCGGGUUUAGGCCAGCAUCGGUUUUUGUAGGGGGAUAAAAGCUUUGGGAACGUAGCUCCCUCGGGAGUGUUAUAGCCCUUUGCAUAAUACCCUUACGGGGACCGAGGACCGCGCUUCUGCAAGGAUGCUGGCGUAAUGGUCGUCAACGACCCGUCUG